UUGCUUCGGUAACUGACCUAGCGGCGGACGGGUGAGUAAUACUUAGGAAUCUGCCUAUUAAUGGGGGACAACAUCUCGAAAGGGAUGCUAAUACCGCAUACGCCCUACGGGGGAAAGCAGGGGAUCACUUGUGACCUUGCGUUAAUAGAUGAGCCUAAGUCGGAUUAGCUAGUUGGUGGGGUAAAGGCCUACCAAGGCGACGAUCUGUAGCGGGUCUGAGAGGAUGAUCCGCCACACUGGGACUGAGACACGGCCCAGACUCCUACGGGAGGCAGCAGUGGGGAAUAUUGGACAAUGGGGGGAACCCUGAUCCAGCCAUGCCGCGUGUGUGAAGAAGGCCUUAUGGUUGUAAAGCACUUUAAGCGAGGAGGAGGCUCUCUUGGUUAAUACCCAAGAUGAGUGGACGUUACUCGCAGAAUAAGCACCGGCUAACUCUGUGCCAGCAGCCGCGGUAAUACAGAGGGUGCGAGCGUUAAUCGGAUUUACUGGGCGUAAAGCGUGCGUAGGCGGCUUUUUAAGUCGGAUGUGAAAUCCCCGAGCUUAACUUGGGAAUUGCAUUCGAUACUGGGAAGCUAGAGUAUGGGAGAGGAUGGUAGAAUUCCAGGCGUAGCGGUGAAAUGCGUAGAGAUCUGGAGGAAUACCGAUGGCGAAGGCAGCCAUCUGGCCUAAUACUGACGCUGAGGUACGAAAGCAUGGGGAGCAAACAGGAUUAGAUACCCUGGUAGUCCAUGCCGUAAACGAUGUCUACUAGCCGUUGGGGCCUUUGAGGCUUUAGUGGCGCAGCUAACGCGAUAAGUAGACCGCCUGGGGAGUACGGUCGCAAGACUAAAACUCAAAUGAAUUGACGGGGGCCCGCACAAGCGGUGGAGCAUGUGGUUUAAUUCGAUGCAACGCGAAGAACCUUACCUGGUCUUGACAUAGUAAGAACUUUCCAGAGAUGGAUUGGUGCCUUCGGGAACUUACAUACAGGUGCUGCAUGGCUGUCGUCAGCUCGUGUCGUGAGAUGUUGGGUUAAGUCCCGCAACGAGCGCAACCCUUUUCCUUAUUUGCCAGCACUUCGGGUGGGAACUUUAAGGAUACUGCCAGUGACAAACUGGAGGAAGGCGGGGACGACGUCAAGUCAUCAUGGCCCUUACGACCAGGGCUACACACGUGCUACAAUGGUCGGUACAAAGGGUUGCUACCUAGCGAUAGGAUGCUAAUCUCAAAAAGCCGAUCGUAGUCCGGAUUGGAGUCUGCAACUCGACUCCAUGAAGUCG
rnacentral:rRNA from 1 species